UGAAGAGCUUCCUGAUGAGUACAAGGAUCACUCUCAGGUAUUUAUAAAUGCUAAUAAAAAGGUUAAGUCUAAAAUAAUUUGAGUUGUGUCUCAUUUGGUAUAAAUUGUGACAAUAUUAGUUGAAUACCACUUUUCUGCUUGUCUGUCAAAUAUCAAUUUUCACAUAUUGUAGGAUUUUUGUGCAAAGUUGAUAUUACUGAAGAAAAUAUAUUAUACUCAACUAAUUUAAAUAUACUUCAUAGCAAGUAGAAUAAUUUCAUGAUUAAGAAGAAAAAGAGGAAUUGCACAAGUAGCCUGAUAGAAAAGCAUUAUGAUACAAACCUUGAAAUUCCAAGUUGCAAAAGUUUCCUUUUUCCACUAUCUGGUGAUGUAAAAUCAUUACCUCUAAAAAGGAGAGGAACAUUUUUUUUUCUCUAGUUCUUUCAAGGUUCAAUAAUGUCAUUAUCAACACAUUAAAUCUAUAAGUUUAAUUGUAUUAGGCAUAGGAUGAAUGUUAAACAAGUUAUAGAUUAAUAUCAAAUUAUAAAUAGAUUAAAUAAGGUAAAUUUUAAAUAAUUUUAUAAUAUUAUGUGAGUCGGUCCGCCAUAACCUGCAACCCUCUUAGGACGGGUUUGGACUACAAUUUGAUAUGUAUAAAUUAUAUAUGAGCUUUUUAGGCUGAUCUGAUUUAGCCCGAACCCGAUGUGGGCUAGCCCUAACCCAUUUGGGUAGCCCGUUUUGACACAUCUAGUGUCAACACUUAGAGCACGUCUGAUAUCACAUAAUGAGUGUCACUCAGUGGGAUAGAGAUCAUUUGUCUCAAAUCGUGUCACAUUCUUUGUCUCAAACCAAUUAGAAUGCUACUUUUUAUAUUUUUUUUAACCGAUCACAAUGUCAUUACAAAUAGAGUGACACUAAUUAUGUGACUAUAGAUUUGCACCCCUCAACAUUGAACAUCAAUUUCAAACUCAAUGGUAUUGGGAUGAGAAUUGUAGUUUUUUGUACUAACAAUGGUAUUUUUUUACCUUAUUAGGUAAAAAACUAAUCAUUUUGGAGUUCACUAUACCCCUCCUAACAAAUGUUGCUCCCAAGAAUGGAAAUCUCGAUCUUGGGAUUCAAUAUAUCCUUAUAUCAUUAUAUCAACAUCUUGUUGGUUAAGAAUUGCAAUUUGUUAAAAGUUUAUUAGGUUCAUUUAGGAUGCUUCGAGGGGAGAGUGUGAAGAUGAUUCCACUAUGCUAUUCGCUGGCACAUGAAUAACAGGUCAAGAAAGUGGUAUCAGAAAAGUAAUUUUUAAGAAUGUGAUGCUGGAGUAAGUUAUAUGACAUUAUGAUUUUAUAAUUGUGCACGAGAAUAAGGAG
rnacentral:lncRNA from 1 species